UGGGGAAUAUUGGACAAUGGGCGAAAGCCUGAUCCAGCCAUGCCGCGUGUGUGAAGAAGGCCUUAUGGUUGUAAAGCACUUUAAGCGAGGAGGAGGGUACUGGUAUUAAUACUACCAGGUACUGGACGUUACUCGCAGAAUAAGCACCGGCUAACUCUGUGCCAGCAGCCGCGGUAAUACAGAGGGUGCGAGCGUUAAUCGGAUUUACUGGGCGUAAAGCGUGCGUAGGCGGCUAAUUGAGUCGGAUGUGAAAUCCCCGAGCUUAACUUGGGAAUUGCAUUCGAUACUGGUUAGCUAGAGUGUGGGAGAGGAUGGUAGAAUUCCAGGUGUAGCGGUGAAAUGCGUAGAGAUCUGGAGGAAUACCGAUGGCGAAGGCAGCCAUCUGGCUAACACUGACGCUGAGGUACGAAAGCAUGGGGAGCAAACAGG
rnacentral:rRNA from 1 species